CUACGGGGGGCUCCAGUUAGGAAUAAUCUACAAUGCGCGCAAGCGUGAUAGUUUGAGCCAGAGUGCUUCUCAUCCGAGAAGCUUUUGCCAAAUCUAAAAAGUUUGGCGAAUAAGGACUGGGUAAGACUAGUGCCAGCCGCCGCGGUAAUACUAGCGGUCCAAGUCGCAGCCAUUUUUAUUGGGUCUAAAACAUCCGUAGCUUGCUUGAUAAGUUUCUCGUGAAAUCCCAUGUCUCAAACAUGGGGCGUGCAAAAAGUACUGUCAAGCUAGAGACUGGUAGACGUAAGAAGUACGUUCAGAGUGGCGGUAAAAUGUGUUAAUCCUGGACGGACUCACAAAUCGAAGGCAUCUUACGAGAACAGUUCUGACAGUAAGGGAUGAAGGCUAGGGGCGCAAAACGGAUUAGAUACCCCCGUAGUC
rnacentral:rRNA from 1 species